rnacentral:rRNA from 1 species
ACACGUGAGUAACCUGCCCUUGACUCUGGGAUAAGCCUGGGAAACUGGGUCUAAUACUGGAUAUGACUGACUAUCGCAUGGUGGUUGGUGGAAAGCUUUUGUGGUUUUGGAUGGACUCGCGGCCUAUCAGCUUGUUGGUGGGGUAAUGGCCUACCAAGGCGACGACGGGUAGCCGGCCUGAGAGGGUGGACGGCCACACUGGGACUGAGACACGGCCCAGACUCCUACGGGAGGCAGCAGUGGGGAAUAUUGCACAAUGGGCGCAAGCCUGAUGCAGCGACGCCGCGUGAGGGAUGAAGGCCUUCGGGUUGUAAACCUCUUUCAGUAGGGAAGAAGCGAAAGUGACGGUACCUGCAGAAGAAGCGCCGGCUAACUACGUGCCANCAGCCGCGGUAAUACGUAGGGCGCAAGCGUUAUCCGGAAUUAUUGGGCGUAAAGAGCUCGUANGCGGUUUGUCGCGUCUGCCGUGAAAGUCC